rnacentral:rRNA from 1 species
UACGAAGGGGGCUAGCGUUGUUCGGAAUUACUGGGCGUAAAGGGCGCGUAGGCGGCUAUCCAAGUCAGGCGUGAAAGCCCCGGGCUUAACCUGGGAACUGCGCUUGAGACUGGGUGGCUAGAGUACCGGAGAGGUGGGUGGAAUUCCCAGUGUAGAGGUGAAGUUCGUAGAUAUUGGGAAGAACACCGGUGGCGAAGGCGGCCCACUGGACGGUAACUGACGCUGAGGCGCGAAAGCGUGGGGAGCAAACAGGAUUAGAUACCCUGGUAGUCCACGCCGUAAACGAUGUCGGCUAGACGUUGGGGCUCUUAGAGCUUCGGUGUCGCAGCUAACGCAUUAAGCCGACCGCCUGGGGAGUACGGCCGCAAGGUUGAA